rnacentral:rRNA from 1 species
AAACUGCGAAUGGCUCAUUANAUCAGUGAUAAUUUCUUUGAUAGUCUUNCUACUAGGAUAACCGUGGUAAACUAGGGNUAAUACAUGUACAAAAAUCCAACUCACGAAGGAUUGCAUAUAUUAGACUAAACCAACCCAGCUUUCAUUAGCUGACUUAGGUGAAUCAUAAUAUAUUCGCUGAUCGUUGUCUCUUGNCGCGACGUAUCAUUUAAAUCUCUGCCCUAUCAUACUUAUUCGUUNGAUNGAGGCCUACGAAGGUGUUGNCGGGUAACGGAGAAUCAGGGUUCGAUUCCGGAGAGGGAGCCUGAGAAACGGCUCCCACUUCCACGGAAGGCAGCAGGCGCGAAAAUUUUCCAAUCCUGACUCAGGGAGAAGGUGAGCAAGAAAUAACAACCGUAGGCACUAUGUGUCCCGGCAUGUAAUGGUUUAGGUGUAAAUAGACCUUUAGAAAGCAAUUGGAGGGCAAGUCUGGUGCCAGCAGCCGCGGUAAUACCAGCUCCAAUAGCGUAUGUUAAAACUGUUGCAGUUAAAAAGCUCGUAGUUGAACUUGUGAAUCAGUGCAUGGAUGAUUAUCGUUAGAUUACAUCUUUAUUGUACUGGUUCUUCCUACCAUUUUCUUCAGAUUCCUUAGGGCGUCUGUUAGAUAUGGUUUUUUUACCUUGAAUAAAUUAGAGUGUUCAAAGCAGGUAUACGCAAUUGAAUACACUAGCAUGGGAUAAUGAAAUAGGACUCUGACCUUUUUGUUGGUACAUAGGAAGGAGUAAUGAUUAAUAGGGACAGUUUGGGGUCGUCUGUACUUAGGAGUGAGAGGUGAAAUUUUCUGAUCUCCUAAUGACAAACAGAAGCGAAGGCGUUCGACAAGGAUGUUUUCAUUGAUCAAGAACGAUAGUUGGGGAAUCGAAGACGAUUAGACACCGUCGUAGUCUCAACCAUAAACUAUGCCGACUAGGGAUUGGAGGCACAGGUUUAUUGUACCCCUUCAGCACCUUACGAGAAAUCAAAGUUUUUGGGUUCUGGGGGGAGUAUGGUCGCAAGGCUGAAACUUAAAGGAAUUGACGGAAGGGCACCACCAGGAGUGGAGCCUGCGGCUUAAUCUGAUUCAACACGGAACAACUUACCAGGGCCGGACAUAGUAAUGAUUGACACUUUGAGAGCAGUUUCUUGAUUCUAUGAGUGGUAGUGCAUGGCCGUUCUUAGUUGGUGGAGUGAUUUGUCUGGUUAAUUCCGUUANCGAACGAGACCCCAUCCUGCUAAAUAGUUGGACAUUUUUUACAAAAUGGACCAACUUCUUAGAGGGACUGCCAGAGUUUUAUCUGGAGGAAGGUUGGGGCAAUAACAGGUCUGUGAUGCUCUUAGAUGUCCUGGGCCGCACGCGUGCUACACUGAUGUCGUCAAUAAGCAAUAGCUUGGUCGAGAGGCCUGGCUAAUCUUUAAAAGACAUCGUGAUGUUGGGAUUGACCUUUGCAAUUAUGGGUCAUGAACAAGGAAUUCCUAGUAAGUGUGUGUCAUUAGCGCACGCUGAUUACGUCCCUGCCCUUUGUACACACCGCCCGUCGCUCCUACCGAUCGGAUGAUGUGCCAAAAUGUUCGGAUCGCGCCAACGCACAGUAGCAAUACUUAGUUGGGUGAAAAGUUCAGUGUGUCUUAUCAUCUAGAGGAAGGAAAAGUCGUAACAAGGUUCCCGUAGGUGA